AUUGAACGCUGGCGGCAGGCUUAACACAUGCAAGUCGAGCGGGGGAGGUUGCUUCGGUAACUGACCUAGCGGCGGACGGGUGAGUAAUGCUUAGGAAUCUGCCUAUUAGUGGGGGACAACAUUUCGAAAGGAAUGCUAAUACCGCAUACGUCCUACGGGAGAAAGCAGGGGAUCUUCGGACCUUGCGCUAAUAGAUGAGCCUAAGUCGGAUUAGCUAGUUGGUGGGGUAAAGGCCUACCAAGGCGACGAUCCGUAGCGGGUCUGAGAGGAUGAUCCGCCACACUGGGACUGAGACACGGCCCAGACUCCUACGGGAGGCAGCAGUGGGGAAUAUUGGACAAUGGGCGCAAGCCUGAUCCAGCCAUGCCGCGUGUGUGAAGAAGGCCUUAUGGUUGUAAAGCACUUUAAGCGAGGAGGAGGCUACUUUAGAUAAUACCUAGAGAUAGUGGACGUUACUCGCAGAAUAAGCACCGGCUAACUCUGUGCCAGCAGCCGCCGUAAUAC
rnacentral:rRNA from 1 species